rnacentral:ncRNA from 1 species
GAUGGACCAAUGUAGGUAAGGGAAGUCGGCAAAACGGAUCCGUAACCUUGGGAUAAGGAUUGGCUCUGAGGACUGAGCCGGUCGGGCUGGGGACCUGAAGCAGGAACGGCACUGCACCGGGACUGGGCGGGGCUCGCCGUUCACGCGGCGCGGCCAAGCCCGGACCAGCGUCGGGACCUUCCUGUGGAAAGCCUCAGCUGCGCGGCGUCUGAGGGCUUCGUGCCCAAAGUGCUAUGCUUCGGCCGGCAAAAAACAGUCAACUCAGAACUGGCACGGACCGGGGGAAUCCGACUGUCUAAUUAAAACAAAGCAUUGCGAUGGCCGCUGGUCGGUGUUGACGCAAUGUGAUUUCUGCCCAGUGCUCUGAAUGUCAACGUGAAGAGAUUCAUCAAAGCGCGGGUAAACGGCGGGAGUAACUAUGACUCUCUUGUUCCAAAGGAAGGCACUCCUUUGGUUCGUGAUGAGAUGUUCAUGGUGCUUGCCUAGCUGGAGAAAUCCGACUCACACCUGCACGUGGUCCCUGCCGCCUGCCAGUAUGCCGAGGAAACGGGUGCAACUUAAUCCGUGGAUACUGGUAGCAACGUGAGCAACGGUACGGUCCUUCGCGGACCACCCUGGGCGUUCGGGUUGCCAGCCCGUUCGCCCGAAAUAUCUUGGCCCUGAAACUAAAAGAAAAAUGCAAUGCACCAGCCGACUGGCUGAUGCACCAAGAUUUGCCCGAGUGGGCGUCGAGGGUGAAGGUGUCGGUGCGUCUGGUAACGGCACUGAUGCGCAGUUAUGGUAUGGCUGCACGGGCUGUGACGAAGCCUUCUCGUCCCUGCGAGGACUGAGAAUUCAUGCGGCCCAAAAGAAACAUGGAAACCAAGAUGGCCUUCUCCGCCUGCCGGCGGGACGGCCCCGAAAACGACGAGUGGGGAAGAGCACCACAGCGGGUGCUUCGGACCGGGUGACCACGGAUCCAGUGCCUGCUCCAGUUCCUGAAUCUCCUGGGCUGCUGCCUGGGCUACCUGGACCAUCGCUGCCUGGGUGCUCGGACCUGCCGCCUGGGGUGCUGCCUGGAGGGUGGUCUGCAUCACCUGGGCCUCUCUCCUGGCCUCCUUCCCUGGAUGCCGGGCCUCUGCCUGGACCUUCAAGAGUAUCACCUGGACCUUCAAGACCUUCGCCCGGGAAGCCGACCGGGCCUCCUUCCCUGGAUGCCGGGCCUCUGCCUGGACCUUCAAGAGUAUCACCUGGACCUUCAAGACCUUCGCCCGGGAAGCCGCCCGGGACGCCUGAGCCGCUGCCUGGAUCUCCUGGCGGUCGGCGCGGGGUGUCCCCGGGACAGCCCGGGUCACGGACCGACCCCUCAAGCUCUGCUGGCGCCGGACACUUCGUAUGCCCGCAGUGCAGCAGAGCCUUCUCAAGCAAGAUUGGCAUGUCUCAACACCAAAAACAUGCCCACCUCGAAGAAUACAACGCGGGCAUUAACAUCACCCGUACCAAAGCCCGGUGGGACCCCGAGGAGACCUAUCUUCUGGCCCGCCUGGAGGCCACCCUCAACCCAGACCACAAGAACAUCAACCAGACGCUGCACGCCGCGCUGCCCCGCGGUUCCUGUCGAACCCUGGAGAGCAUCAAGGCCCACCGAAAGCAGGCGGCUUACAGGGACCUGGUGACGAGCCUGCGGUCAGCCAGGGAGAGCAGCGAGGCGCAGCACGUUCCGGACCGGCCCCUGGAGACCCCGGAGCCCCAGACACCAGCGAACCCUCAAAGAGACUCGAAGCAGGCAGUCAUCGAAGCGCUGCAAUCCCUCAUCGGCCGAGCACCACCAGGCUCCUUCCAGGGAGCGCGUCUCUGGGACAUCGCGAGGCAAGCCACAAGGGGGACGAACAUCCUCCCACUCCUGAACAGCUACCUGAGGGAUGUUUUCACCCUCCCCACAAAGCCAACAAGAAAGAAACCUGCAGUGCGGCCCGCCCGGAGCCGCAGAAAACAAAAGAAACAAGAGUAUGCCAGAACACAAGAUCUAUUCAGGAAAAAGCAGUCCGACUGUGCCAGGGCGGUCCUGGACGGCCCCACGUCGUCAUCGGUCCCUGGAACGGGCGCCUUCCUGCAAACCUGGCGAGAGAUCAUGACGGGGCCCAGCCCUGCACUCGAGGCACCGCCUCUACCUACCCGGGGGGAAGUCGACCUGUUCUUCCCGGCGACGGCGCAAGAGAUCCAGAGCGCUGAGAUAGCCGUCAACUCGGCUGCUGGACCCGACGGGUUCUCAGCCCGUCUCCUCAAGUCCGUCCCGGCCCUCCUCCUAAGGGUCAUGGUUAACCUUCUGCUCCUCGUCCGACGUGUCCCGGCGGCCCUCCGGGACGCGAGAACGACCUUCAUCCCGAAGGUCCCCGAUGCAGUGGACCCCUCCCAAUUUCGCCCAAUAACGGUGGCCUCCGUUCUCCAGCGCCUACUACAUCGCAUCCUGGCCAAGAGGGCGCUGGAGGCCAUUCCCCUCAACUUUCGACAAAGAGCCUUU